GCGCGUGCUAUACAUGCAGUCGAACGCUUCUUUUUCCACCGGAGCUUGCUCCACCGGAAAAAGAGGAGUGGCGAACGGGUGAGUAACACGUGGGUAACCUGCCCAUCAGAAGGGGAUAACACUUGGAAACAGGUGCUAAUACCGUAUAACAAUCGAAACCGCAGGGUUUUGAUUUGAAAGGCGCUUUCGGGUGUCGCUGAUGGAUGGACCCGCGGUGCAUUAGCUAGUUGGUGAGGUAACGGCUCACCAAGGCGACGAUGCAUAGCCGACCUGAGAGGGUGAUCGGCCACAUUGGGACUGAGACACGGCCCAAACUCCUACGGGAGGCAGCAGUAGGGAAUCUUCGGCAAUGGACGAAAGUCUGACCGAGCAACGCCGCGUGAGUGAAGAAGGUUUUCGGAUCGUAAAACUCUGUUGUUAGAGAAGAACAAGGAUGAGAGUAACUGUUCAUCCCUUGACGGUAUCUAACCAGAAAGCCACGGCUAACUACGUGCCAGCAGCCGCGGUAAUACGUAGGUGGCAAGCGUUGUCCGGAUUUAUUGGGCGUAAAGCGAGCGCAGGCGGUUUCUUAAGUCUGAUGUGAAAGCCCCCGGCUCAACCGGGGAGGGUCAUUGGAAACUGGGAGACUUGAGUGCAGAAGAGGAGAGUGGAAUUCCAUGUGUAGCGGUGAAAUGCGUAGAUAUAUGGAGGAACACCAGUGGCGAAGGCGGCUCUCUGGUCUGUAACUGACGCUGAGGCUCGAAAGCGUGGGGAGCAAACAGGAUUAGAUACCCUGGUAGUCCACGCCGUAAACGAUGAGUGCUAAGUGUUGGAGGGUUUCCGCCCUUCAGUGCUGCAGCUAACGCAUUAAGCACUCCGCCUGGGGAGUACGACCGCAAGGUUGAAACUCAAAGGAAUUGACGGGGGCCCGCACAAGCGGUGGAGCAUGUGGUUUAAUUCGAAGCAACGCGAAGAACCUUACCAGGUCUUGACAUCCUUUGACCACUCUAGAGAUAGAGCUUCCCCUUCGGGGGCAAAAUGACAGGUGGUGCAUGGUUGUCCUCAACUCCUGUCCUGAAAAGUUGGGGUUAAUUCCGCCACCAAAGCACCCCUCUUUGUAGUUGCCUCCCUUUUUUUGGGGCUCCUCUCAAAAUGCCGGUGACAA
rnacentral:rRNA from 1 species